UUAGGCAUGAAGGAACUGACUCUCAAGCAGACCUAGAAGAUAUCAUUGUUGUAUUAAACAGCUUCAAAAGCAAGAUACUCAAAGUAAAAGUGAAAAAAGAAACAGACAAAAUUAAGGAAGAUAUCCUUACCGAUGAAGAUGAAAAAACAAAAGGACUGUGGGAUUCCAUUAAAAGUUUCACAGUAAGCUUGCAUAAAGAAAACAAAAAGGAAAAAGAUGUCCUAAACAUUUUUUCAGUUGCUUCUGGUCAUUUAUAUGAACGUUUUUUAAGAAUUAUGAUGCUUUCUGUUUUGCGUAACACCAAAACACCAGUGAAAUUCUGGUUGCUAAAAAAUUAUCUCUCACCGACAUUUAAAGAAGUAAUUCCUCACAUGGCUAAAGAGUAUGGAUUCCGAUAUGAACUAGUUCAAUAUAGGUGGCCCCGUUGGCUUCGUCAACAGACUGAAAGACAGAGGAUUAUUUGGGGUUACAAAAUUCUUUUCCUUGAUGUUCUUUUCCCACUAGCAGUGGACAAAAUCAUUUUUGUUGAUGCUGACCAGAUUGUGAGACAUGAUCUAAAAGAACUUCGAGAUUUCGAUCUGGAUGGAGCUCCUUAUGGGUAUACUCCAUUUUGUGAUAGCCGCAGGGAAAUGGAUGGAUAUCGUUUCUGGAAAACAGGAUACUGGGCAUCACAUCUUUUAAGACGGAAAUACCAUAUCAGUGCUUUAUAUGUAGUGGAUCUCAAGAAGUUCAGGAGAAUUGGAGCAGGUGACAGGCUCAGGAGCCAGUAUCAAGCUCUCAGUCAAGAUCCAAACAGUCUUUCAAACCUAGAUCAGGAUCUCCCCAAUAAUAUGAUUUACCAAGUCGCCAUUAAGUCUCUUCCUCAAGACUGGCUGUGGUGUGAAACCUGGUGUGAUGAUGAAUCCAAACAAAGAGCCAAAACAAUUGAUCUGUGCAAUAAUC
rnacentral:lncRNA from 1 species